rnacentral:rRNA from 1 species
AGUGAACGCUGGCGGUAGGCCUAACACAUGCAAGUCGAACGAGUGGCGGACGGGUGAGGAAUACAUCGGAAUCUACUCUGUCGUGGGGGAUAACGUAGGGAAACUUACGCUAAUACCGCAUACGAUUGAAUGAGCCGAUGUCGGAUUAGCUAGUUGGCGGGGGAAAGGCCCACCAAGGAGACGAUCCGUAGCGGGUCUGAGAGGAUGAUCAGGCAAACUGGAACGUGGACACGGUCCAGACUCCUACGGAAGGCAGCAGUGGGAAAGAUUGGACAAUGGGCGCAAGCCUGAUCCAGCCAUACCGCGUGGGUGAAGAAGGCCUUCGGGUUGUAAAGCCCUUUUGUUGGGAAAGCGGUACCCAAAGAAUAAGCACCGGCUAACUUCGUGCCAGCAGCCGCGGUAAUUC